AACGAACGUUAGCGGCGCGCCUAACACAUGCAAGUCGAGCGAGAAAGGGCUUCGGCCCCGGUAAAGCGGCGCACGGGUGAGUAACACGUAGGUAAUCUGCCCCUGAGCGGGGGAUAACCUUCCGAAAGGAGGGCUAAUACCGCAUGGGACCACGACGACGCGAGUCGUUGAGGUGAAAGCCGGCCUCUGCAUGCAAGCUGGCGCUUGGGGAUGAGCCUGCGGCCCAUCAGCUAGUUGGUAGGGUAAUGGCCUACCAAGGCGUAGACGGGUAGCUGGUCUGAGAGGAUGAUCAGCCACACUGGAACUGAGACACGGUCCAGACUCCUACGGGAGGCAGCAGUGGGAAUCUUGCGCAAUGGGCGAAAGCCUGACGCAGCGACGCCGCGUGAGUGAUGAAGGCCUU
rnacentral:rRNA from 1 species